rnacentral:rRNA from 1 species
CCCUACGGGGUGCAGCAGGCACGAAACCUUUACAAUGCACGAAAGUGUGAUAAGGGGAUCCAGAGUGCCUAUACUAAGUAUAGGCUUUUACCAAGAGUAAAUAUCUUGGAGAAUAAGUGGUGGGAAAGACUGGUGCCAGCAGCCGCGGUAACACCAGCGCCACGAGUGGCAAUCACAUUUAUUGGGCCUAAAGCGUUCGUAGCGGGUUCGAAAAAUUUCUUGUGAAAUCGUUAAGCUCAACUUAACGGCGUGCAGGAAACACUAUCGAACUUGAGACCGGGAGGAGUCAGAGGUAUGUCAGGGGAAGCGGUAAAAUGCAAUAAUCCUUGAUGGACCACCUGUGGCGAAGGCGUCUGACUAGAACGGAUCUGACCGUGAGGAACGAAAGCCAGGGGAGCAAACCGGAUUAGAUACCCGAGUAGUCCUGGCCCUAAACUCUGCGAGCUAGGUGUUGCAUAUUCUCCGUGAAUAUGCAGUGUCGAAGUGAAGAUGUUAAGCUCGCCGCCUGGGAAGUACAGUCGCAAGGCAGAAACUUAAAGGAAUUGGCGGGGGAGCAC